UACAGAGGGGGCUAGCGUUAUUCGGAAUUACUGGGCGUAAAGGGCGCGUAGGCGGCCUGCUAAGUCGAACGUGAAAUCCCCGGGCUCAACCCGGGAACUGCGUCCGAGACUGGCGGGCUUGAAUCCGGGAGAGGGAUGCGGAAUUCCAGGUGUAGCGGUGAAAUGCGUAGAUAUCUGGAGGAACACCGGUGGCGAAGGCGGCAUCCUGGACCGGCAUUGACGCUGAGGCGCGAAAGCCAGGGGAGCAAACGGG
rnacentral:rRNA from 1 species